rnacentral:rRNA from 1 species
CCUACGGGUGGCAGCAGUGGGGAAUAUUGCGCAAUGGGCGAAAGCCUGACGCAGCGAUGCCGCGUGAGGGAUGACGGUCUUCGGAUCGUAAACCUCUGUUAGCAGGGAAGUACGGUCACUGUGCUAAUCAGCAGUGAAUUGACGGUACCUGCAAAGGAAGCACCGGCGAACUCCGUCCCAGCAGCCGCGGGAAUACGGAGGGUGCGAGCGUUAAUCGGAAUUACUGGGCGUAAAGCGCUCGUAGGCGGUAUGUCAAGUCAAGGGUGAAAUCCCCGCGCUCAACGUGGGAACUGCCUUUGAAACUGGCAGACUGGAGUGUGUGAGAGGAUAGUGGAAUUCGAGGUGUAGGAGUGAAAUCCGUAGAUAUCUGGAGGAACAUCAGUGGCGAAGGCGACUAUCUGGCACAUAACUGACGCUGAGGAGCGAAAGCGUGGGUAGCAAACAGGAUUAGAUACCCUGGUAGUC